rnacentral:rRNA from 1 species
AUUGAACGCUAGCGGGAGGCUUUACACAUGCAAGUCGAACGAGUGGCGGACGGGUGAGUAAUAUAUCGGAACCUGCCCAGUAGAGGGGGAUAACUACUCGAAAGGGUGGCUAAUACCGCAUACAAUCGGAUCUGCCGAUAUCGGAUUAGCUUGUUGGUGGGGUAACGGCUCACCAAGGCAACGAUCCGUAGCUGGUUUGAGAGGAUGACCAGCCACACUGGGACUGAGACACGGGCCAGACUCCUACGGGAGGCAGCAGUGGGGAAUAUUGGACAAUGGGGGCAACCCUGAUCCAGCCAUCCCGCGUGUAUGAGAAGGCCUUCGGGUUGUAAAGUACUUUUGGCAGAGAAGCGGUAUCUGCAGAAUAAGCACCGGCUAACUACGUGCCAGCAGCCGCGGUAAUUC